AACAACUUCGGACCGUCGCGGCGUCGGUCUACCGAGCAAAUAUCACCCGCUCGGUGGAAGAUCUUCCUUUCCUCGU
rnacentral:pre_miRNA from 1 species